rnacentral:rRNA from 1 species
UACGUAGGUGGCAAGCGUUGUCCGGAUUUACUGGGCGUAAAGAGCGCGCAGGCGGUUGUUUAAGUCGAAUGUGAAAGCCCCCCGGCUCAACUGGGGAGGGUCACGCGAUACUGAUCGACUCGAAGGCAGGAGAGGGAAGUGGAAUUCCCGGUGUAGUGGUGAAAUGCGUAGAUAGUCGGGAGGAAUACCAGUGGCGAAGGCGACUUCCUGGCCUGUUCUUGACGCUGAGGCGCGAAAGCUAGGGGAGCAAACGGG